rnacentral:rRNA from 1 species
GGAGUUUGGGCCGUGUCUCAGUCCCAAUGUGGCCGGUCACCCUCUCAGGUCGGCUACUGAUCGUCGCCUUGGUGAGCCGUUACCUCACCAACUAGCUAAUCAGACGCGGGUCCAUCCUAUACCACCGGAGUUUUUCACACCAGACCAUGCGGUCCUGUGCGCUUAUGCGGUAUUAUCAGUCGUUUCCAACUGCUAUCCCCCUGUAUAGGGCAGGUUACCCACGCGUUACUCACCCGUCCGCCACUCAGUCACCUCAAUUGAUUCCACUUUGUGCAAGCACUCCAUUUCAUCGGGCGAGGUGCUUCGUUCGACUUGCAUGUGUUAAGCACGCCGCCAGCGUUCAUC